rnacentral:rRNA from 1 species
GACGAACGCUGGCGGCGUGCUUAACACAUGCAAGUCGAGCGGAAAGGCCCCUUCGGGGGUACUCGAGCGGCGAACGGGUGAGUAACACGUGAGUAAUCUGCCCUUCACUUUGGGAUAACCCCCGGAAACGGGAGCUAAUACCGGAUACGACCACUCCACGCAUGUGGUGGUGGUGGAAACUUUUUUGGGUGGGGGAUGUGCUCGCGGCCUAUCAGCUUGGUGGUGGGGUAAUGGCCUACCAAGGCUUUGACGGGUAGCCGGCCUGAGAGGGUGACCGGCCACACUGGGACUGAGACACGGCCCAGACUCCUACGGGAGGCAGCAGUGGGGAAUAUUGGACAAUGGGCGGAAGCCUGAUCCAGCAACGCCGCGUGAGGGAUGACGGCCUUCGGGUUGUAAACCUCUUUCAGCACCGACGAAGCGCAAGUGACGGUAGGUGCAGAAGAAGGACCGGCCAACUACGUGCCAGCCGCCGCAGUAACAC